rnacentral:rRNA from 1 species
UGAAUGGCUUGACGAGAAAUCAACUGUCUCUUAAUAAUUUUAAAAAUUUAACUUUUGAGUCAAAAGGCUUAAAUUUUUCUUUAGGACGAGAAGACCCUAUAGAGCUUAACAUUUUAUUUUUAUAUAGUUUUUAGUUGAUCUUUCUAUAUUUAAUGAUAAUGUUUUGUUGGGGUGACAUGAAGAAUAAUUAAACUCUUCAUUAUAAAAUCAUUGAUUUAUGUUUAUCAUGAUCCAUAAUUUAUGAUCAUAAGAUUAAGUUACCUUAGGGAUAACAGCGUAAUUGUUUUCGAGAGCUCAUAUCGACAAAGCAGAUUGCGACCUC